UACGUAGGGUGCGAGCGUUAAUCGGAAUUACUGGGCGUAAAGCGUGCGCAGGCGGUUUUGUAAGCCAGAUGUGAAAUCCCCGGGCUUAACCUGGGAAUGGCAUUUGGGACUGCAAGGCUCGAGUGCGGCAGAGGAGACUGGAAUUCCUGGUGUAGCAGUGAAAUGCGUAGAUAUCAGGAGGAACACCGAUGGCGAAGGCAGGUCUCUGGGCUGACACUGACGCUGAGGCACGAAAGCGUGGGGAGCAAACAGG
rnacentral:rRNA from 1 species